AAAGCUUUUGGAAUCCAAAUGGUUAUGUUAUUGUUGCUUUUUAUAAAAAAACAUUUGUUAAGAAACAUGAGCAAAAGAGGUAUGUUGUUCUUUCUCUCUCUCUCUCUCUCUCUCUCUGUAAUUUAUGUUCUUCUUCUUCCUUUCUCGAGUCGGUUCGAUGGGUUUUGAGAAGGAGAAAAAGGGAAAAAUUGAUUGGUCAUAUGACUGGGUGAAUGAUGAUGUUAGAAAGUGUUCUUUGCUGUUUGUGGAUGAAGAAGCUGUGAAAGAGAUAGAUAAAAAUAAGGUUGUUAGGCAUGGUUCUGGGGUUCGUUUAGAGUUGCUACCAUAUUUUGUUAGUGAUCGUGUGUUUCAUAGGGGGUGAAUGUUUUGAGUAUUUCUAUAUGUAUAGUUGUGUUCUAGAAGAGUUGAAGGUGAAACUCCCUUUCACAAAUUUUGAAUGCCAGGCUUUGAAACAGUUGAACUGUGCCCCUUCACAACUUCAUCCCAAUAGUUGGGCUUUUCUGCGAAGUUUUGAAGUGUUAAUGGAGUUUUUGGAGGAGGCUCCUUAUCUGGAGUUAUUUUUGCGUUAUUCCAGGCCAAGGGUGUUUGGAAAGGUGGCUGGGUGAACUUGAAUAGUUCUCCGGGAUUUGCUGUCUUCAAGCUUUAUAAGUCCUCGUUUAAAGACUUCAAAAAAAUGUUUUUGAAGGUUAGGAAUGCUGAGGGUGAUUUCCCUUUUUAUUUGGACGAACAAUUGGGGGAAAUAUUUCCCUUGUGGUGGUGUUCGGAGCCUCAGAAUAUUCUAGAGCCUGAAACCAUUAGUUAGAGGAAUGAAUGCAUUAUCGAAUAUUUAGUGGAGUCUGUUGAUCGAAAAGAGUUGAUUUCAGUGUUUGAUUUGCUUCAAUGUGAAGAAAAUAAGGAAGCUGUUGUAGAGUAUUUAGGAGGAAAAUAUCCCGGCGUAUCUGCUGCUACCCUAAGAGCUUGGGUGAAGAAUAAGAACCUCGAAAAGGAAGGUUCGACGUCAAAGCCAGAUAAGACGGUUGGUGCGGGCGAGGUUAAUCAGCCUUGGGCGAAAAGAAAAAGGUUAUCUGAGGGUUUUGAGGAAGAGAGGGAUGAGCUUCCUAUUGAGGAGAUACAUGCGUUCAUGGAUAAUCAGAAGAGGUUGCAUGUUACUGCCGACCAAAGUGACGACUCAUCUCUUUGGGGAAAAGAUUUUCCCUAUAUGGUCGCUGCCGACGAGGUUGGGCAAUCAUCAGCAGAUAUCUCGUUGGCGAAUGAGGUCGGCGACAUCAACAUUGGUCAAAUGCAGGCAUGUCCAUUUGUGGUUUGGUUUAUAUUUAUUUAUUUUUUUUUUGUGUUGAUUCUGUACCAUGUCUUUGCCAGGUUCUUGGGUUUCGAUUGGCUAGUCUGGGUCGUAGCCAGGAGAAUAAACAUAAGAAACUUAUUGGGCAAAAGCAGGAUCCGGGUUUGAAGGAGGAGUUGGUGUUAAAAAAAACAUGACGAUAGCAGAGUUGGAGUGCAAAUUGUCUGAUAAGGAGAAAGAGCUGAAGCUGAUGAAAGAGAAUUAUGCCAGAGAGGUUGAAGAUUUGAAGAAAAAGGAAGUCGACCUUUCUAGUAUGAGCACCCAAAUGAUUGAAGUGACUGCGAAGUUAAAAGAAAUGGAGAAGAAUAAACAGGCAGAGAUAUUUGAUUUGUUUGUUGAGGGUUUUGAACGAGCUUCGUUACAGGCAAAGUUUUUGGUGCCUGACUUUGAUUGCUCUCCCAUGGAUCCGGGAAAGAUCGUCCGAGAUUGAGUGAUGGUGGAAGAUGAUGGAGCGGCCGAAGAUGAAGAUGAAGAUGAAAAUGUUGAAUGAUUUGUGUAUUUGAACUUUUAAUUUGGUUUAUAGUAGUUGUUGAUCGAGAGCUGUUGACUAUUUAUACUCUUUGCUUUCGUUUUGCCUAUUAGAAAGGGUAGUUUGUUUGGUAAUAGUUUUGUUUGAUGUGUUUGAUAAUUUUGCAUAUUUGCAUGGUUAGUAGAUUUUGUAGGUGUUGCUGGCUGAAUUUAUUUCGAAUAUUUGCACAGUUCAGUGUUUGUUUGGUUUGAUAUCUCUUCAGAGAUAUUUAUUUGAAGUUUUUAGUUUGUAAUCAUGGUUUGAUUUAUUUGACGGAUAUGUUUGGAUUGAUAA